rnacentral:lncRNA from 1 species
CGUCCACGCUGAGCAGUUCCUUAUCACCAACCUUUCCCUCAAUGCAGAGCUGCGUCUUAAAUACAUCGCCGUCUCCGCCGCUCCUUGCGGCCAUUGCCGCCAGUUUUUCCAAGAGCUCCGCGGUGCUCCCGAUGUCAAGAUGCUCAUAACUUCCUCCGAUGAUGAAAAGGAAAACAAAAUAAGCAACACUUGUAAUGAUAAAGACCAAGAAUUUACCCCUUUGUCUCAUUUUUUACCUCACAGGUUCGGCCCCGAUGAUUUGCUAGGAAAAGAUGCUCCUCUCCUCCUCGAGCCUCGCCGGAACGGCUUGUCGUUUACCUCCGACGGCUGCGAGAACGACGAGUUAAAACACGCGGCUCUCGAUGCCGCGAACAUGUCGUACGCAC